AGGAUUAAGUAAAACGAUGCACUGAAGUGCCUUGCACAAAGCCAACCGUGUUUGGUACCGUGACUGAGUUUGGUGGAAGCGGCUGUCGUCAUGAGCACAGUAUCUUGCUUGUCCUUCCAUCUCAAUCCUUUAGGUAACCUUACGUUUUGGAGAGAUUAUAAGCUGAGACCACAUUGCAGGUAUUUUGACCCUACAGAAUUUUUCCCUCUAGUUGCCCAUGGUUGCUUUGCCUUUUGCUGCCUUUCAGGGUCAUCAUGAGAACGGGUCUUUGAAAGCCUUUAUUGUAUACGUUACAGGGACAUUGGCCACUGCCUCGCUCAGGAUCUGCCUAGAAAGACUCAUAAGAAAGGUUUCUCAGACUUGCAUGGGAAGGGAAAACUUGGUUCCCCAAAGCAAUACUAACAUUUUCGGCCUGUGUUUAGAGCAGACUGAACUCCUCUGGUCGAGGGUGGGAGGCACACCUCUCAGGACAGUAAACCACAACUGCCACUGUUUUUUGUUACACAUUCGUGUGACUUUUGUAUUCUUCUCCACUAUCCAUCUAUGCUUAUUUUUAUGGAUGCUGUAAAUUCUGAUCCAAGUCACUUUGAUUGCCUCCAAGGCCGACGUGAAAUUUACGGCUCCUCUUUAAUAAUGAUGGUCAGAGUGUGAAGGUAACAACCUACAUCCUUAUCUUGAUCUUCUAAUUGCUCUCUGUUUUCUCUGAUUUGAUUUUAGUGUAUUUUUAGCUUUCUAUUUUAUGGUAUAUUUUCUUAUGAAUUGUCUCAAUGACUUUGUGGAAAUAAAUGGGUUAUGAAUAAGUAAAAGCACGCCUAUUACAUAAAGAAAGAAUUGACAAGCUUGAAAUUGUGUGAUAUGAGGGUACAGGAUAUGUGCUUGGUUUCCCACUAAUAGCUCUCUUACACCCUAUGUUAGCUGAGUUGAAGAACACAUUGAACAAAAAAGGUGUUUAAAAUCUUAGCAGAAACAGUACAAAAAGCACGGACUAUAGUUCCCUUAUGCAUGGAAAAUCAAAAGCCCUAAUUUGAAGAGAAUACAUUCAUACCAAUUUUGGAGGCAUUUAAAGAACGUGUCUGAUUUUUUUCCUCUUGACCAAAGAUAAUAGGAAAAAUAUUUUUGUUAUCAGGAAAGUUGAUUACAUAUUCAACUUAAUGCAACAGAACAAAAAUUAUGCAAUAGUAAUAUACUUACAGUGAAAGCCCAGUGGCUGGCUGAAAUAGCAGCUCUUCUGGACACCCUCACAGAGGUUGACCAGCUGGAAAAUGCAGAAUGAGAGCCACAGAUCUAAUGCCCAUUCACUUACCUGGCUCCUUGUCUGGACAACAGUUUCCGUGAGGCUGGGACUCGGAACGAUUUCCUGUUCUAUCCGCAGGGCUCCUGCAUAGGAUCCCUUGGUAGCAGCCUCUGGGAUGCACCGUGCUGAUCUCCUCCCUUCCUGAGACAGGAGAUUUCCGGCGUGUUGGAGGCAAAGUCAUUGUCGGCUGCCUUUCUUCUUCUAGCAUCUCUUGUUCACCAAUAAAAUUGGUUGACAUUAUUUAAGUUAAUCUGCCAGUGCUCCAAGGAUCUCUUCUGGCAGUGCGAUGAGUUCGUCUCAUCGUGGGGAACAGGCCAUGUUCAUACCCACUGGCAGGACAGCAGCGUGGAAGGCUAACUGUGUUUAUGGAGAACCCUCGGCCGAGGCUGCAAGAAGAAAAGGGGGAACAUGGAUUUCUGCAUGAGAUGCAGCACAGAAAUGCAAAUGCUGGGGCUGAAGAUGGGACAGACAGCUGCGGCUUCAAGAUGGACCAAGCCGGCCUACACCAUCUGGAAUCCCAGAGCCUCAGGCGUGUUGUCAUCCCAAUACUGUGUGCUUUCUGCAGGUUUACUCAUGCAUCAAACAACAUUUAUUCCUCUGAACACUUACUAAAAGCUCCUGCAGUGCCUGGGGGGUACAGGGCUUGAGGAGUUUCAGAUUUAUAUCAUUACACUGUGUUAGAGUCUGUAGCACACUCUACCAGAAUCACCUGAUGAUGGAUCUGUCCCUACUCUAGUGCCUCUCAAGCUGUACAGCGCUUGGAAGUUCCCCAGAGGUUGGUGAAACACUACUCUGGGCUUCAAAUAGGAAGAAUCUGAUUGAAGAGGUCUAGGGUGGGCUUGGGAACUGAUUUCUGACAACGACACAGGGGACAGUGGUUUGCGGUCUGAGCCUCUCUCUUGAAACAAUAUUCCUCUAAAUAGUAGGGUCCUCAGGCAAAAAGUAUGUCUCAUUCUUCUCUCUCUGUAGAAUGGAGUGGCAUGUCUGAAAUAUCAAAGGUGUUCUUGAAGUGCUUGUGGAAUGUGUGCAUGGAUACAUCUAUGAAUGUUUGAAGAGAGCUACAUGAAGGAGUUGGAAGUUCCUUCGAGGGUGGGUGGAACUGUUGGGGGCUGUAAUGUUCUCUAAUGAGACUUGGUUUCACUGUAUGCGGGUACCCGAACUUUAUGAAAUUUCUGUGAUCACUGAGGACAUCUAUUAACUUCAGUCUUCAGGAAUCACUUCCUCAGGAAAAUAACAAAACUGCCCUCAGGUUUAUGCCCGUCUUGAACUAGAAGGCUGCCAAUAGUGGAUUAUUUCCUUGUACGGUGUGAACAUGACAUGAUGCACUGUAUUUCUGAAGGACCAUUAGGCCAGCUACUCGCAGCAGGGGUGUAUUUGCACAGCCAAUCAGCCAGGGGUGACCAUUGUGCCUCACACUCGAAGAGGUAAAGGUCUCCUGUCACUGCAUUCCGACAGCCACGAUAAAAGCCCCUAGAACCUUCCAGAAAAAGGCUGGCCAUUGGCCUGAACAACAAAUCUCAUGGGACAGCAUGAAAAUAUACCUUGAAGUUUAAUCCAAGAUGCAAAUGAAAUUCCCUUCUCUCUCCACAAUGUCAGACUGGCUAGCAGAGUGUAUUUGAGACAUUGUUUUCUAAUUUCCUUCAUUGCUCCUGUGCCUUAGAUGACUUAGUCACAGAACAUGGUACCUGAAUGUCAACUGCAUAACUAAGUUCCUUUCCUUUUUCUUUUUCCUUUCCUUUCCUUUCCUUUCCUUUCCUUUCCUU